UCGUGCCAGCCGCGUAAGGCGAGGGUGACGGUCCGAGGGCAGCCCGCCAGUACCGGGGCGUUUGUUGGAGGGUGAGGGGCUUACGGCCGCUGUGAGCCUUCUUCGUCUGCCUGUAGGUCCUGCAUUUAUGUAUUUGUGUUUCUUUCCCGGAGCCCUCAAGGUAUGCGCACGCUUUGCACGCCGCCUCCGGAGGCUAGGAGGUGCCCUUUGCUCCUGAGGCCAGUGAAGGAGAAACAGCAGUCUGAGGUGAGGCAGCAUUCAACAGAACCUCAUCAAAUGCUUUUAGAGACUUUUGAGAAGAACUGCUGUUGUGCUUGAAAAUUGAAUAUUACCUGCUGCAAAACUUUACUGUUGUUUGAAACUUGACUUUCCCAUUCUCCCCAUCUUCAUUUAAUAAUGAAGUGUUACAUUUAAAGAUACUGCUACCUUUUACCAUAGGUAGUUCCUCGAAAAACACAACAGUUCUUAAAUGCAUGUUUUUAUGAUUGCAGUAUGUGGCCGAGGAUGAAAACAAUAAUCUGAUUCCUUGCAUACUUUCAGUGAUACGCAAAAAUCUGAUGGAUUAAAGGAUUUUCUGAGGCCAAAACUAAUAUCCAUAUUUACUGAUUCUUUGUUUUUAAAUUAAGCUUUUUUUUUUAGCAUCUGGGCAGAGAAGGUUUCAGUAGCUCUAGGAGGAUUUUUCUCUAAAGUUAUUUGAAUAUAAACCUUUUAUUUGUCAACAGACCUCAACUAGAUUUUUGUUGCUGAAGAAUAUGUUGUUAUAACAGCACACAUCUAUAAAUAUUUUAAAGGACUUAAAGGAUGCUUGUUUUAGGCAAAUUUUUACUAUGAUUGAAACAAGAUGAGGAGAACAGUGAAUAUAUUCUGACUUCCAAAACAGUCUUUGCUCUCGGUAUAGUUGUUUUUAUACCAAUUCUGACUUUAAUACGUUGUAUUAAGGUGAGACAACCAUGAAACUGAGAAUGUAAGUCUUUGGAAUCAGUUGACAGCAUUGCACAUGAAAAUGAAAUCUUUGAUACAGAACAUAGAAUUGGAGCAUUUGAAAAAUAAGAAUUGUAAUUAAAAGUCAUAUUCUGCUUCCUCUCUUCAGUGAGCAUUUGUUGUAAUAGUCUUUCUUAGCAUCCAUCUACAAAAAAUAAACAUGCUGCUGAAACAA